UACGUAGGGUGCAAGCGUUAAUCGGAAUUACUGGGCGUAAAGCGUGCGCAGGCGGCCUAUUAAGUCAGAUGUGAAAUCCCCGAGCUCAACUUGGGAACUGCAUUUGAAACUGAUAGGCUAGAGUGUGUCAGAGGGAGGUAGAAUUCCACGUGUAGCAGUGAAAUGCGUAGAUAUGUGGAGGAAUACCAGUGGCGAAGGCGGCCUCCUGGGAUAACACUGACGCUCAUGUACGAAAGCGUGGGGAGCAAACAGG
rnacentral:rRNA from 1 species